UCACAUCAGAAACAUAAAUCAGGCAUUUCAUUUAAUUCUUCUUUCCCUUCCUCACAGCCCUGAAGCCUUGGAAUCUUUCACGUCCUUCAAUUUCAGAGUCUAUAUUUUUCAAGUAUUAUCCAAUGGAAAACACCCUGCAGAUUUCAUCAAGUGGAAAAAAGCAGCAUCCUGAAAGAAGGAAAAUCUUUCUUUUAUGCCUGAAUACAUCCAAGACUUCAUAAUCUAUCCCGCUUCUUUGGCAGUAGCUGGGGAGAGUUUAGAAGCACUAUGAGGGAGGAAGAGAUGGGAGAAAAGGUAUCUACAGUUCCUUCAAUAAAUUUAAGAGGUGAAAUCA